rnacentral:lncRNA from 1 species
CAACAGAUAACAGCUUCCAUCUUAUCCUUGGGAAACCCCUAAAAACCACCCUCUAGGAAAUUACCAGCCAAGGUACUCUGAGACAUAGAACAAGUAAGAAAAAUAGAACUCUUUUUCCUUGACUUAGAGGUAAAAUAAAACAAAUGACUUCUUCCUAUUGUCUCCAGAUAAGAGAAAGAAAGAAAGUGUAUAGAGGAAGAGAGGGAGGGAAGGUGAGGAAGGAAGGAGAGGGUUAUCAAGUUACACAAAGAUGUCAGAGAUGACUCAGAACUCAGAUCACCCACAAAACUUGGGUAGAAUGUCAGCAAAGCAGAUGGAAUGACUUCUAAAAUAUAUUCAGAUAGCUCAGCCAUUUAUUUAAUCUGUUUUAAUGAUAUAAAUACUUUUUUUUAAGUCUUAGGCUCUUAGAUUUUUAUUGGUUUAAGAAAUCAAGUUAUAUCAUUUUAAAAUCUGCUUCCAGGAGGAACUAUUUAAUAAAUACUCUCAAGACUGACUGGAUUUAAAAUUUCAGUGUGGAAUGAAUGUGUUGAUGCUGUUUAUAGUAAUCUCUGAGUAGUCUGCUUUAAGACUGGCUGUACCUUGGGCAUGGCGGUGCACACCUGUAAUACCAGUGGCCCUGAAGGACUGCCAAUCCAAAGCAGCCUCAGCAACAGCAAGGCACUAAGCAACUCAGUGAGACCCUGUCUCUACAUAAAUUACCAAAU